GCCUGGUUGGCUCAGUUGGUUAAGCAACUGCCUUCAGCUCAGAUCAUGAUCCUGGAGUCCCGGGAUCGAGUCCCGCAUCGGGCU
rnacentral:tRNA from 1 species